AUUAGGUUUUGGGGCUAGGGUAAGGUUUAAGGUUUUUGGCGUUAGGGUUAAAAUCACCGUCCAAAACCUUUGUAGGAACUCUUUUCCGACCUUUUGGAGUUAGUUAGACCAAAAAAAAAGAAAAAAGAAAAAAAUAUAUUUGGGGUCUUCGGGCUUCCUGAAGGAAAUACCCGGGUAUGAGGUUAUGGGGCUAGGGUAAGGUUUAAGGUUUUUGGCGUUAGGGUUAAAAUCACUGUCCAAAACCUUUGUAGGAACUCUUUUCCAACCUUUUGGAGUUAGUUAGACCACAAAAAAAAGAAAAAUGAAAAAAAUAUAUUUGGGGUCUUCGGGCUUCCUGAAGGUAAUACCCGGGUAUUAGGUUAUGGGGCUAGGGUAAGGUUUAAGGUUUUUGGCGUUAGGGUUAAAAUCACUGUCCAAAACCUUUGUAGGAACUCUUUUCCAACCUUUUGGAGUUAGUUAGACCAAAAAAAAACGAAAAAUGAAAAAAAAAUAUUUGGGGUUUUUGGGCUUCCUGAAGGUAAUACCCGGGUAUUAGGUUAUGGGGCUAGGGUAAGGUUUAAGGUUUUUGGCGUUAGGGUUAAAAUCACUGUCCAAAACCUUUUUAGGAACAUGUUUAAGAC